GGCCCUCGCACGUGUGAAUCGCGGCUUUGGGCGCGUCACAUUCGGUUGCGAGCAGUGGGACCGAUCGCCGAGACGGAGAGCUGAUUCUGGACCCAUCGUCCAACCGGACCACCUUCCACUCACCGCGUCAUCGAUCCGAUUAAUAGGUCAAUCGAUUUGACCCAUAUAUUUAAUUAUAUAUAUAUAUAUGAUUUAUUCCCGCCCCUUUGCCUUUUUAUUUUCUCCUCUUUGAUUAAACCGAUAAAUUGAUAGAUAAAUGAUAAGUUUAAUAAAAUAUUUUAGAAUAAAUUUCUGAAAAAAAUCUUAAGCUUUGAGAAAUCUGUAAUGAGUGUUUUUAUUUUUAAAAAAUUUUCACAGAACGUUAUUUUUUUUCUAAAAAAUGAUUUUAUUAUCUAUCGUAGUCCAAUCGGCUGUGGCUCUGUCAGUGAUUUUUAUUUUAUUUUAUUAUAAUUAACAAUUUAUUUUGUUUGUUUGGUGUGACGGGAGAAGGGAGCGUACGUGGAGAUUUUGCUGCUUCUCUCUCCAUGGCUUACGUGGACUAUAGAGUCACUCAUGGGUGGUGGUCCCAGAAACAGCCAGUGACAGCUUGGGGGCCACGCGCAGGCGAGUAUGAGAACGGGUACGACAAGCCAAGCAGG
rnacentral:lncRNA from 1 species